AGGACGAACGCUGGCGGCGUGCCUAAUACAUGCAAGUAGGACGCUGAAGGAGGAGCUUGCUUCUCUGGAUGAGUUGCGAACGGGUGAGUAACGCGUAGGUAACCUGCCUGGUAGCGGGGGAUAACUAUUGGAAACGAUAGCUAAUACCGCAUAAUAGUAGAUGUUGCAUGACAUUUGCUUAAAAGGUGCAAUUGCAUCACUACCAGAUGGACCUGCGUUGUAUUAGCUAGUUGGUGGGGUAACGGCUCACCAAGGCGACGAUACAUAGCCGACCUGAGAGGGUGAUCGGCCACACUGGGACUGAGACACGGCCCAGACUCCUACGGGAGCAGCAGUGGGAAUC
rnacentral:rRNA from 1 species